rnacentral:siRNA from 1 species
UAGUUCAAGUAUUCCAGAUG